AUGAACGCUGGCGGCGUGCCUAAUACCUGCAAGUCGAGCGAACAGAUGAGGAGCUUGCUCCUCUGACGUUAGCGGCGGACGGGUGAGUAACACGUGGAUAACCUACCUAUAAGACUGGGAUAACUUCGGGAAACCGGAGCUAAUACCGGAUAAUAUAUUGAACCGCAUGGUUCAAUAGUGAAAGACGGUUUUGCUGUCACUUAUAGAUGGAUCCGCGCCGCAUUAGCUAGUUGGUAAGGUAACGGCUUACCAAGGCAACGAUGCGUAGCCGACCUGAGAGGGUGAUCGGCCACACUGGAACUGAGACACGGUCCAGACUCCUACGGGAGGCAGCAGUAGGGAAUCUUCCGCAAUGGGCGAAAGCCUGACGGAGCAACGCCGCGUGAGUGAUGAAGGUCUUCGGAUCGUAAAACUCUGUUAUUAGGGAAGAACAAUUGUGUAAGUAACUAUGCACGUCUUGACGGUACCUAAUCAGAAAGCCACGGCUAACUACGU
rnacentral:rRNA from 1 species